GAGCUUUUAGGUUAUUUAAACUUUGGGCCUUCAAAGUCUUAGAAAACGAAUUGUUGCUAAAGCUUG
rnacentral:tRNA from 1 species